CAGGCAAUUUUCUCACAUUGCAACUAUUCCUUGAAAGCAGAUCCAUCUUUCCUUGCUUUUGCCUUUAGCCCCUGUCCAGUUCUGCCACGUGUUUCAAGUUGGAGUGACCAGAGCAUGUGUGUUAUCUCCUUCUCCAUGCUUCACAAUGCCCUCUGUAUCCGCCACAUCUGGAGGUCUCCUGCCUAAAAUAAACAUCAGUGUGGUGCUCCACAGACUCUGGGGAGAUAAUGCCACGUGUCUGUGCCCAGGGGUGUUCACAGCAGGUUUCCUGCAGCCCAGUGCCCUCCAGGAUGUACAUCCCACACACGUUCAGAGCUACGAGGGAGUUGUGGUGUGCUCAAGCCUAGUGGACCUACAAGCAAGUCAGUGUAGGACAUCCUAGUCCUGCUAAUGAAGAUGUUAUCUCUGGAAACUUUCUGCAUUGCUCAGCACUGGUGCCAUCCAACUGCCAAAUAGUGACUGCAGCAACAUCCAGGAGCACUGGGUGAGCCUGCCAGUUGUAGCCACCCUCUCCCUUCCAUGUCUGAGUGUCUCUGCAGAAAUCUUUGUUUGAAGGAACCCAGUUGGCUGGUUCCUGUCUGUCUGUCUCAUGUUUCAUAGUCUCAAGUUAUUAGCUAAGAAGAUGCCAGACCUAGAGGGGUCCUCUGCAGCAAAAAUGUUAUGCCACCUGAAAACUGAUAGAAGCUUUAUUUUCUGAGCUGAAAGCAAAUGAGUGCAACAACCACGGGCACAUCUGGGGCUGCUCCAAACUG